CCUGGUGAUGAUGGCAGAGAGGUCACACCUGUUCCCAUACCGAACACAGAAGUUAAGCUCUCUAGCGCCGAUGGUAGUUGGACUUACGUUCCGCGAGAGUAGGAUGUUGCCGGAC
rnacentral:rRNA from 1 species